rnacentral:rRNA from 1 species
AUUGAACGCUGGCGGCAUGCCUUACACAUGCAAGUCGAACGGCAGCGGACCUUCGGGUGCCGGCGAGUGGCGAACGGGUGAGUAAUAUAUCGGAACGUACCUUUCAGUGGGGGAUAACGUAGCGAAAGUUACGCUAAUACCGCAUAUUCUGUGAGCAGGAAAGCAGGGGAUCGCAAGACCUUGCGCUGAUUGAGCGGCCGAUAUCAGAUUAGCUAGUUGGUGAGGUAAAGGCUCACCAAGGCGACGAUCUGUAGCGGGUCUGAGAGGAUGAUCCGCCACACUGGAACUGAGACACGGUCUAGACUCCUACGGGAGGCAGCAGUGGGGAAUUUUGGACAAUGGGCGCAAGCCUGAUCCAGCCAUGCCGCGUGAGUGAAGAAGGCC